ensembl:lncRNA
CUCUGCGCUCUCAGAUGAGAAACGACUCCCACCAAAAUCGCAACUAUUUUUGGUUGCAUAACAAGCCCAAAAAUCGUCGGAUAAACUUUGGCCGGCUUGAAAAUCGUUUGAGGUUUUGUGCUGUUUUCGCAAAGUUUAUUUCUUGUGAUUGCGUGCCACUGAGGCUGGAAGUUUUCCCUGGACUGAAGUCAGGAUGUCAGAUAUCUCAGUCAAUGACCAUCUGGAGGGGAUAUUGUCUGAUUUUGAGGCUCUGAAGAGGUCCUUUGAUAUCGAUGAUGUGAAUGAGAUCCCCACAUUCUCCCCUACAUCUUCUGUCACAUCUCCCAUCGGCCCGAGUGCAAUCCUCAACAAGACAAAUGAUAUGAGGAGUCCAGAGAACCAAGUGUCUCCUCCUUAUCGCUCCAGGAUUAGUAUCAGCUGCAGUCCUGCCCAGAGCCCCGUUAUGAGAAAUAGGAUGGUGUCAAGUCUCUCCUUCAACCGAGGGACAAUGGGAAAGCCCACUAUCAAUGCCAGCUCUGGGAUCAACCGAGCUGCCUCUUUUCAAAACAAAUUCAACCCCAAUGGCUUCACUUCAUCUUCCGGGCCAGGAAGUGACAACGACAGUCUCCAUAGCUCCUCUUCCAGUCUGGAGUACCAGGUCUCUUCAAAACUCUGCUCCAACACAAGCCCACGCCAGAGUCCGGUUGGUGUUGGGGAAUUCAAGGCCCAACAUUUAGGCAGCCCUGCCCUGAAGAAGUUCUCCUCACAUGGAAACAUGUUCCAUUCAGUGCUGGAGGGUCCUCUGGUCAUCCCAACUGAACCCAUGGGUAUUAGCCAUGGCUCCAUGCCUUCUUUGGACCUCCAGAUGGAGACUGCAGGAAUGAGGCGAGUGAUUUCGCCUGAAUCACGAUACACCAAUACAGGUCCGCAGUGGAGCACAAUUCCCCAUAACAUUCAGAACAGCAGUACCUAUGCAAGGGACUCCUCUAUCAACACCCAGUCACCUAGACCUAAAGAUCCGGUGCGCCUCAACAAGUUCCCUCUUGACCUUGACAACUUGGUUUUCAAGUCUCAGACGGAAUCUCUGGGAGCACCUAAACCACCUCCAAGAUUCCACACACUAUCCAACAGUCCCACUGUCUCAGCAAGUUCCUCUGCAUCCAUCAGCAGCCUGGACAGCACCGACCUACCCAUGGCCCACAACAACAACAUCAUUGAAAAGAAAGAGCCCAUCACUCCUCCUGGAGCUAUCCCAGUACCCAACAUCAGUGAAUCUCCUGUGCCUCUGUCUCCAGCCCAGACUCCACAGUUCAAUGUGGUCUCUAAGCCCCAAGUGGUCCAGGUGGCCCCUGCCUCACCUUCCCUGUCAGGACAGAUGGAGAUCAGCAAUGAUAUUGAUCAGGACGAUAUCCAUGCCAAAGAGAGCGUGGGUUCCAUAUUACAGCGGAUUGCCUCUUUCUCCAAAGUGGAGACUAAGGUGCCGGUGUCUGAGCCAAGUCUGGUCAUCCCCCUGAGUAAUGGCAUCAAAAAAGAUUUACCAGCAAUACAAC